GAUGAACGCUGGCGGCGUGCUUAACACAUGCAAGUCGAACGAGAAAUGGAGACGGACACCUUCGGGCGGAAGGCUUCAUUUCGAGUGGCGGACGGGUGAGUAACGCGUGGGUAACCUGCCUCAUACAGGGGGUUAACAGUUGGAAACGACUGUUAAUCCCGCAUAAGACCACAGCACCGCAUGGUCCGGGGUUAAAAACUCCGGUGGUAUGAGAUGGACCCGCGUUCGAUUAGCCAGUUGGCGGGGUAACGGCCCACCAAAGCGACGAUCGAUAGCCGAUCUGAGAGGAUGACCGGCCACAUUGGGACUGAGACACGGCCCAAACUCCUACGGGAGGCAGCAGUGGGGAAUAUUGCACAAUGGGGGAAACCCUGAUGCAGCGACGCCGCGUGAGUGAAGAAGUACUUCGGUAUGUAAAGCUCUAUCAGCAGGGAAGAAAAUGACGGUACCUGAGUAAGAAGCCCCGGCUAACUACGUG
rnacentral:rRNA from 1 species